rnacentral:lncRNA from 1 species
CUAUUGAUCUGGAUGUCUCCUGACAUGUUGAGGGCUCAGCUCAAAUGUCAUCUUCUCAGAAGGGCUUUCCCUGACUGUGCACCAGCCCCAGUCAGUCUUCUUCACACUACCUUGUUUUGUAUUCUUUGUAACACUGAUCAUUAUCUGAAAUUAUCUUUCCUGUUUGUUUUCUUGUCUAUCGUGCCAUAGGCACACUACAAAAAGCUCCAGCAGGGCAGAAAUACGCCUAUCUUAUUCACCAAGUUUUCCCCAGCACCUAGAAUGAUGACUGGUAUAUAGUAAACACAUAAAAAAUAUUUGAUGAAAGAAUGAACAAAUGAGGUCAGCAACAUGAUGGCAGAACCACUCCUACAGUAUAACCAACUUUUGCGUUGUAAUUAAACCUCUCGCUAUUCCCUUGGUUGCUCUUCAGCACUGGGUAGCUAUUGAAGAAAAUCUUACUGCCCUGACCUUGCUUUUGUCUGUACUAAUAAGACUAUAUUCUCAUAUAUUCCAGUAAACACACUUUCUUCCUUUGGCAUUCUCUUUAUACUAUGCCAUGUCUUUAUUAGGAAUCAUUGAGGGUGAGUAGCGUGUAACAUAUACCCUUCACUGGGAAGUCCAGAAUGCAGAAGCUGGGUCCCAGGGGUUCUGUGUAUGCAUAACAAAACCUUGAACUUCUGACUACAUGAGCCACAGCAAAGUGGGACUUCCAAAAGUGGGGAGCUCCAGGGACCUCCAAGGCAGCUCCAGGGACCUCAAUGAUACCCCAAGUUGGAUCAAUCAGAUUCUUUCACCAAGAAUUUUGAAAAGUAGAAUGGAAAGACCUAGGAGCUGGGAGCCAACCAUCUCUAGAAAACGUCACAAACACUUAGCACCAAAUUGCCCAUUUCAAGGUUUGAUUAUCCCAUUCUUCUUUAGCUUUGUGAGAUGACAGAGUUCUCCCAAUUGACUACUAUGGUUUAUAAUCAAAUGAAUCUUAAUUGACACAAGACGGGGUGUACUCCAUUCGACCCUGCAGCACAUGACUCUGUCACUGAACAUUUUAUCUGGAAGAUAUCAGUAACAGCAUGGAUACUUAAUUAUAGCAAACAUAAAUUUACACAUCGAUCAAAUGUGGCUGUUCACCAGUAGGACGAUGUCAAUACACUGUAAAGUACAGGAACCCGAGUGAAACCAGCAGCCUAGAAAGAGCCCAGGUUGCUGGAGGAAAUGGCACAAAACCAAAAUGACCAAAUUUUAUAGGAAUACCUAUUAAGACCCAAAUUAAUGCUAUAAUCAUCUACAUAAUCAAAUAAGAAGAGCUGGAAAGAGGCCAGGCGCAGUGGCUCACGCCGGUAAUCCCAGCACUUUGGGAGCCUGAGGCGGAUCAAUCACCUGAGGUCAGGAGUUUGAGACCAGCCUGGCCAACAUGGUGAAACCCCAUUUCUACUAAAAAUACAAAAAUUAGCCAGGCGUGGUAGUGGGCACCUGUAAUCCCAGCUACCUCAGGAAGCUAAUGCAGGAGAAUCACUUGAACACAGGAGGCAGAGUAUGCUGAGAUAGUGCCAUUGCACUCCAGCCUGGGCAACAAGAGUAAAACGCUGUCUCAAAAAAAAAAAAAAAA